rnacentral:rRNA from 1 species
UACAGAGGUCUCAAGCGUUGUUCGGAUUCAUUGGGCGUAAAGGGUGCGUAGGUGGCGCCGUAAGUCAGGUGUGAAAUCCCGGGGCUCAACCCCGGAACUGCACUUGAUACUGCGGUGCUCGAGUACUGGAGAGGAGAUUGGAAUUUACGGUGUAGCAGUGAAAUGCGUAGAUAUCGUAAGGAAGACCAGUGGCGAAGGCGGCUUUCUGGCUCGUAACUGACGCUGAGGCGCGAAAGCGUGGGGAGCAAACAGG